rnacentral:lncRNA from 1 species
AGCGGCAUCAAGGCCAUGGAUGCAGUUACAGCCUCGCCAGCUACACCAACUGCCCACCAAGUCCAUCAAGCCUUUUGAUCCCAACACACAGCAAUUUUGCUUUCUUCAGUGAACAAGGAAUGCCUUCUUCUGGACAUGGUGAUCCAAUCAGUCCAAAUCGACUAAUGUCUCCACAUAUAUUAUUUGAAGAUGAACUUUCUAAUAUAAAUCACGAGCAAAUUAACAAGAUGUCAUGCCCCAAGACCCUCUCCAAGGACGUGAUGGUCAAUUCACACAUCAAGCCCAAAAGCUCAAAGUGUAAAUUGAAUAUUGUUGAGAAUAAUUCUAGAAGCUUAUCUUAGCCUCAUAUGUAAAGCACUAGCUCCAUGCCAAGUGCAGUUGCACAAAAAGAAUUGGGUUGUGCGCUCUCAUAUAUAAAUAUAUGUAAAAGAAAUAAGAGGUUUAUUCUAGGCAUUAUUUUUUUGAUGUUGUUCUUCUUUGCAUACUACUCUUUGUUUUCUCUCUCAAUAACUCCUCUGUUUUUAUUUUUUAUUUUUUAUUAAUUCAAUCAUGAUAUCAAAGCUAUGCUAUAGAUUUGAUAAGGCUUUUCAAUCUCCAUAAAGUAAUUUCUUAGCUGCUAUGGUUACCCUUCCUAAUACAGUUGUAGAUCCUUCUUGGUACUUUGACAAUGGUGCAUCAACCCAUGUGACCAAUAAUCCAAACAACUUGAGCUUCAAAUCUAAUUAUCAUGGUCACGAUAAGGUUAUUGUGGGCAAUGGACAAGCUUUAUGCAUUCAAAAUGUUGGUUAUUCUUCUUUACCUUCUUUUUUCAAAACUUUGCAUCACAUAAAUAUUUUUCAUUGUCCAAAAAUUACUAAAAAUAUCUUAAGCAUUUCUAUGUUCACUGUAGAUAAUAGUGUUUAUGUUGAGUUUCACUAGAAUUAUUGCUUUGUGAAAGACAAGAGCUCAGGGAAUGUUCUACUCCACGAAUCAAUUAAAGAUGAACUUUAUCAUCUGAUACCACCUUAGAAUCCUCUAGUCCAUUAUGUUUCUAGUUCUUCCAUAGUCACUCCAAGGGAUACUUCAUUUUCUGCCCAUGUUUUCCUACUGAUAGUCACACUUUAAGUCCAGUUCUAGUGUCUAUUAAAAAUAAUAAAUUUGAUGUCUGGCACUAGAGGUUGGGUCACCCAUCUCUCCAUGUACUUGAGUCUGUUUUGAAGUCUUGUAAUGUCUCUUCUUUGCAUAAUGAAAGCUUAUCUCCAAGUUUUUGUAAUUCUUGUUAGUUUGGCAAAAAUCAUGCUCUUCCUUUUUUCCCAGCUCCAACUACAACCACGAUACCUCUAUAAUUGAUUCACAUUGAUUUGUGGGGGCCUUCUCCUAUCAAGUCUAGUGUUGGUUUUCUCUAUUAUAUUCAUUUUAUUGAUGGCUAUACUCAACUUACCUGGAUUUAUCCAUUGAAAGCUAAAACUGAUGCUCUAAAUGUCUUUCUUCUCUUCAAAGUGUGUUGAAAAUCAAUUCAGCUUAUCUAUUAAAGCCUUACAAUUUGACUAGGGUGAAAGGUACUGACCUUUUCUUUCUAUUUUUCUUAAACAUGGAAUUCAUUUUUGUCAUCCUUGCCCACAUGUGCACUAACAACAUGGUCGUGUUAAGCGUAAACAUUGACAUGUAGUUGAGUGUGGUCUCACUUUAUUAGCACAGACACAGUUACUUCUCCAUUUCUGGUGGGAAACUUUUCAUACUGCCACCUUUCUCAUCAACAGGCUACCCUACACUUGUCCUCCAUAUGUUUUCUCCAUAUAAAAAACUCUUUAGCACCUUCUUGAUUAUGCUUUCCUCGAAAAUUUUGGUUGCACUUGUUUUCCCAACCUCUGUGCUUAUAACACCCACAAGUUUGCUUUUCACACUAAGAAGUGUAUAUUUAUUGGGUAUAGUGAUGUUUACAAGGGGUACAAAUGCCUUAAUUGAUUCUUCUGGUCGUGUUUAUAUUACCCCCCAUGUUGUUUUUAAUGAAACCGAGUUCCCUUUUUCCUCUGAUUCUCAGUUUUAGCAUCGUCAUUCGUCAUAUCAAUGUGUCUACUGUUUUUCCCUUCUUCCCUUUACCUGUACUCUCUCCACCCACCUCCUGUACUGCUCUUGGGUCUCCUUAUCCAAGCUUCUCCUUGAUUAAUCAUGGUGUAGGUCAGGUUUCCCCAGUUUCCACUGCUUUUUCACCUUGUCUUCCUACUUCCCAUGUAUCUCUUAGCCUAGCUCUCCCCUUUCCCACCCUACCAUCUUUUACAACUUCUCCCUCCCUUGUGUCUCCGUCUCUUUCAUCUAAUUCCCAUCCUAUACAAAUUCAUUCCAUGUCAAGCAUAUUUAAACCCAAACUUUCCUACCUCACUACCUUUCUUGCUUCUUCCUUUUCACCUAAAUGUUCUUUUGUUAUCGAGGCCUUAUCUCAUUCUCUGGGGAAGCAAGCUAUGCAGUCAGAAUUUGAUGCCUUAACUCGGAACCAAACUUGGUCUCUUCUUUCUUACUCUCCUUAGAUGAAAGUCAUUGGGUUUUUAAGUUGAAGCUUAAUCCAAAUGAUUUUGUCCAACGUGACAAGGCAAGACUUGUGGCAAUGGGGUUUCAUGAAACACUUGGGGUUGACUUUUUUACCAUAUUCAUCCCUAUCAUCAAGCAUUCAACAAGGGGAUGUCAACAAUUCUUUCCUUCAUGGGUGACUCCAUGAAUUAGUUUUUACACAGCAACCAAAAGGGUUUGUUGAUGUCACUAAGCCCACCCAUGUUUGUCAACUUCGAAAAGUCUUAUAUGGCCUUAAACAGCCCCCCUCAUGCUUGGUAUGAACAAUUGCGAAAUUGUCUUCUUCAAUUUAGUUUUCGGAACUCUCAAGCUGACACAUUCUUCACAAGGGCUCCUUAUUGAUUCUCCUUCUUGUUUAUGUUAAUGACAUCCUUGUCACUAGCAAUCAUCCCUCUGUCAUCAACACCCUCAUUGAUCAUCUACAUCAACAAUUCUCUUUAAAAUGACUUGGCUCCCUCCAUUAAUUUCUUAAUAUCCAAGCUCUUUAGACAUCUUCUAGCCUUCACUUAUGUCAGUCUCAAUACAUCCAUGAUUUAUUGCAAUGCACCAAAAUGUUCGGUGCCAAGCUUGCUUCCACUCCAGCUGGCCCCAAACAAAAAUUGAGUUGUACUAAAUAGUACUUCUUUUGAUAAUCCUACUCUUUAUCGUAGUACCAUCAGUGCUUUCCAAUAUGUCACCAUCACCAAGCUUGAACUUGCUUAUAUUGUCAAUAAACUCAAUCAAUAUCUCUAGCAACCUACUCUGUUUCACUAGCAAGCUUGCAAGCAUGUAUUGCAUUAUUUGAAAGGCAUUUCCACUUUUGUUUUUUUUCUUUUGCCCAACUCCUUCUCUUGAUCUCAUUGCCUAUUAGAUGUUGAUUGGGGGAGUGAUGUUGAUGAUUGAUGUUCCAUUAGUGGCUACUUGAUAUUUUUUUUGUGCAAAUUUGAUUUCAUGGACUUCCAAAAAACAAAGAGUUGUAGCUCAUUCAAGUACUCAUUCUGAAUAUAAAGCUUUAGCUCAAGUAACAGUAGAAGUCACUUGGUGGCAAUCCUUAUUACAUGAGUUGGGAAUAUCACUACCACAAAGUGUAGUUGUCUGGUGCAACAAUCUUGGAGCAACAACUUUGGUUGAGAAUCUCAUGUAUCAUUCUCAGACAAAACACAUAGAGAUUGAUGUACACUUCAUAGAGGAGAAGGUGGCUUGGAAAGAACUUGAAGUAAGAUUGGUACCCACUGUUGAUUAGAUUGCUAAUGUGCUCAUAAAACCAGUUUCACAAACUCAAUUUGAAAUACUAAAGUCCAAGCUUAUUGUGUGUGACCGAUAGUUGCACUUGUGGGGGAGUGUUGAGAAUAAUUCUAGAAGUUUCUUUUAGCCUCACAUGUAAUGUACGUACCAGCUCACUAGCUCCAGCCUCCACACUAGAUGUAGUUACAACAAAAAGAAUUGGGUUUUACACUCUCAUAUAUAAAUAUAUGUAAAAGAAAUAAGAGGUUUAUUUUAGGCAUUAUUUUUUUUUCAUUCUAUUCUUCUUUGCACACUACUCUCUAUUUUCUCUCUAAAAAAUUCUUCUCUAUUUCUAUCUUUUUUGAAUUCAAUAAAACAUUCAACUUGUAAUUGGAAGUUACCUUUUACCAAAUUCCUAUUCAAAGUAAUUGAACAAAAUUCUAUAAUCUUCAAAUCUCAACUUUAAAGCUAACACAUCAACCAAAGUACUUUUAUCUAAUCAACUUCAAAAUUAAACAAUUCAAAAAGGCAUUAAAUUCUAACUUUAAAACAAUGUUCAAAAAAUAAGAUUCAAACCAAAAGUCUUAAUAAUGUCAAAAUCUCAUCCUAACUAUCACUCAUCACCCAAACUGAGAGUGUUUGAAAAAUUAUCAGCGAAAUGGAAUGAGCACAAAACCCAAUAAGGAAUAUUAAUACAAUUUCAUGGAUUAAAUAUUUUCAAUUAUGAUUGCAAAUAGGAUAUAUAAUAUAUAAUCUUUUUCAUAAAAACUUUUGAGUUUAAACAUGCUAAUACAUUCAAAACUUCUCAACCAAACAUUUUCGUAUUUAUGUCAAAACAAUUUCAUAUCAAAACCAAAUUAAAUACAUUCAAAAUACUUGAGCUCAAUAAGGAAUAUUAAUACAAUUUCAUGGAUCAAAUAUUUUCAAUUACGAUUGCAAAUAGGAUAUAUAAUAUAUAAUUUUUUUUUCAUAAAAACUUUUGAGUUUAAACAUGCUAAUACAUUCAAAACUUCUCAACCAAACAUUUUCAUAUUUAUGUUAAAACAAUUUCAUAUCAAAUCUAAAUUAAAUACAUUCAAAAUAUUUGUACUCUAGUUAUCAUAUAUCAAAUGGUAUCUAGCUAGAUUGGACUUUAUAAAUGGGUGGCUAACCUUAAAUUUGUUCCUUCUAAGGUGGAUGAAAUUAAACACUCAAAAAACUAAAAGUCCAAUAGAGAACACUCAAAAGGGUUGGGUGGGAUGAAUGAGUGAUUUAAAAUUUUUUUAAAAGAUUUAUAAGUUAUGCCUAAAUUUUCUUACCUUAAGAAAUUUCAGGGAUGUCAUGGAUAUCCAAAAAGAGUUAAUCCCAAGUCUUUACUUAUAAAAAAUUGAUUUUUUUUAUAUAUAUUUAAUUGAUGCCUUGUGAUUAGUUAAGGAUAAAAUAAUAUAAUUUUUAAUAUCCAAAAGGUAUCUUAACAGAUGUUAAGGAUAAUAAUACUUAGUUAUAGGGAUAACUACCAUAACCACCAAGAUAACCACCCUAACAACCUAAAUAACAAACUAACCAAUCAAUCAACAGAUUAUCAAUAUCUCCAAUCUAAAUGUAAGCAAGAAGAUAGAGAUAUGCAAUGAAACAUAAGAUUUUUACUUGUAAAACCCCCACACUAACCGUGGAGAUAAAAAAAAACCACGAUGUCUAAGACCGCUAAUCUAAAUCCGCUAUUUGAAAUCAAAUUAUACAUAUUUACCUGGUUGUUUUUCCAUAAAGACUUACUCUCCAAUACCUACAACUUGAUUCACGUCUGCAAUGUAACAACCUGGUGUUGCUCCUUAGUAUAUCUUUCAACCACUUCGAAGGGAUGAUAGUCUUCAACUUAACAAUCAAAGAAUCAACAUUUGAAAUGAGAGAAGGGGAAUGGUAUGACACUUUAGGCUUUCUCUCAAACCCUCUUUAAAGAAAAUAAGGUCUCUCAAUAAUUUAUCUCCAAUUUCUUUUCCAAAUCCCUUAACCCUCAAGGGGUUAAAGAGAGGUAUUUAUAGGCAAUUAAGCCUAAGAGAUUUGUUUUUAGAAGAAUUCUAAAUUUGAUUUGCAUGAAAAAUUCUUAGCAGAACAUGUAUGACCGCUUGAGUGGUCAUUUUCUCUUUUAAAAAUCAAUAAACAUUAUUUUACUUUGGAAAAAAAGGUACCAAAUCUCCUUAUACCUUGUAGAAGCCUAAUAUGCCACAAGGUAAACCUUUUUAGACAUACUUGUGAUUUCCUUAUUAGAUGAAUAACAACCCUUGAUCUUCAAUGAAGAACAAAUCAUUAUCUAAAAGGACUUCUAUGACCAAACAUUAAAAAUAACAAAAAUGGCAACACAAAAAAUGAGACUCAAUGUCCUAACAAACACUACUAAUACCAAUAACCUCUAACCCGACCACUAGAGAUUGGGAUCCAAAUAAAUUAUAUUCCCCACCACAAAAUGUAAAAGUUAAUUAUUAUAUCCCAUUGAUCAAGGUAAAAAAGUCAACUAUUAUAUUCCCUUUGACCAAAGCCGAAAGGUCAACUAUUACAUCCAUUUGACUAGGGCCAAACAUAUAAGAGUCAAAUAUUUUAUUUUAUUUAUUCAAACUUACAAAAAUAUAUCUCCAUAUUUUUCUAUUAUAAAUAAAAGAAAAAUAUUCUUUUUUUUUUCAUUCAAAAUAUAUUUGAUCCAUGCAUAAAAACAAAAAUAAUAUUUUACACAUUUCAAAAUAACAUAUAAAGAGAAAAUUAUUUUCUUUUACAAAAUCUACAUUAAUUUCCCAUACUUCAAAGAAGCACUCAAAGACCUUAAAGAAAUUAAUAUUAAAGAAUUUCACCCCAAAGAACCUAUUUCACACUUAACAAAAAAAAAUGACUAUUACUAUUUAUUAUUUAUCUAAAUUUAUAGGUUUGAAAACCCUAAUAAUUUCUUAUGUUAUAUCACCUAUAUUAUUUUAACUUCCUAAUCAAUAACAAUUUAAUAAGUGAGUUUCCUAAUUUUUAUAAAAGUUGUAUUCUUUCCAAAAUUUAUUUCCAAAAUUCUAUUAUAUUAUUAUUACUAUUAUUAUUAUUAUUAUUAUUAUUAUAUACUUUCUCCACCCACAAUAUACAAAACAUAGAAUUUUUUUUUUAUUAUUAUUAUUAAUUUUUUUCCUUUGUACACAAUACCUUUCUAACUUACCCUUUCUAAGACCACAAGCAAUGUCAUUCUUUUUUUCCUCCACAAAGUUAACAUUAAAAAAAAAAUUCUUUUUUUUUUUUUUUUGUCAAAUCUAUGGCAAACAAACUUGUGAUUUUUUUUCCCACUAUGGAGGCACAUACCACCACAAAACCUUUUUUUUUUCUCUCUUUAUUUUCAACUCUCAAAGGUCUCAACCUCUAAUACUCUUGAGUUUUAUUUAUUUAUCUAGAUCUAUUCAUUUAAAUAAUAAAAAUUUUCAAUCUCCAUUAACAAUCAAACUAUUUUAAUAAAUUUUCAAUCUUUUUUAUCUAAAAAUUAAUUUAACAAACCCUAAUUUAGAUUAAGAUCUUCUAAAGAAUAUCUAAAAUAUUCAAAACUAAUUAAAAAAAUAUAAAAUACUAAUAUAAGGGUUAGAAUCUUACUUGGAAAAUUGAUCUCCAAAUCCUAAACCCUCAAAUCUUCAAGCCUACAUUGCCCUACACUCUCUG